GCUGGGCAUGGUGGCACGUGCCUGUAGUCCCAGCUACUUGGGAGGCUGAGGCGGGAGGAUCGCUUGAGCCUAGGAGUUCUCUAGCAGGAUCAGGUGUCCACACCAAGUUUGGCAUCAAUAUGGUGACCUCCCAGGAGCAGGGAACCACCAGGUUGCCCAAGGAGGGGUGAGCUGGCCCAGGUUAGAAACAGAGCAGGUCAAAACUCCUGUGCUGAUCAGAAAGUUAAAGUAUCUUUUCUUAACCUCAGUUUCCUCAUGUGGAAAAUGAAACCUACCUCUG
rnacentral:SRP_RNA from 1 species